UACUGGCCAUAUAGGAACCCAAACAUUUUGGCUUUAGGUACUAGCUUUUAUGCAAAUUAGAUAUCGAUCAAGGCACAUUUGUUGUUUGUAAAUAUAAACACAUUAAUGCUCAAAGCGCAAUGUAAGAUGUUCAAACAGAUGAAUCACCUGAUGCAUCUUAUUAAGUUAAGAAUGGCUUAAAUCAAAAUUCACACGAAGCAAUGUGCGGUAAAAAUUUUACUACUUAAAUCGAGACUUAAAUGUUCAUCACUAGAAAUAUGAAGAUAUGUUGUUUGUCGUCGACAAAAGUCAUGUCUGUUGCUUUUGUUUUUGUUUUACGGUGGACACUGCAGCCAGGAUUCAUAAAACUCGCUCUGACGUCUCCAUUUUCAGAAAAAUGUCAAGACGUAGCUGUACACGUUGGCAACCGAUACGGCCUGUCUCUUUCUGUUUCUGUUUCUUUCUUAAGUACUUUUCCUCUUUUACCUUCGUUUCACGAGCCGUUCCACGUCCAUCUUCUUCAUUUUCAUCUUGCCACUAUUUUUAUUUUUCAAAACCUAAUAUGAAACCAUUUUCCAUAACCACUUGAUAGAGACCACCGAAUUCAUUAAUCGACAAAC